CCUACGGGAGGCAGCAGUGGGGAAUAUUGCGCAAUGGGCGAAAGCCUGACGCAGCGACGCCGCGUGAGGGAUGAAGGCCUUCGGGUUGUAAACCUCUUUCAGCAGGGACGAAGCGAAAGUGACGGUACCUGCAGUAAAAGCACCGGCUAACUACGUGCCAGCAGCCGCGGUAAU
rnacentral:rRNA from 1 species